AUGUCACAUGCCAGCGGGCAGUCCCGUCCUCCCCCCCAUCCCCCCCCCUCGUACGCACAGCACCGGCGCUGCGGGGUCACUCAUUGCACGAGUGGGAGAGAGACGGAGCACAGCCAGGACCCAAAACUUGGGGCACGGCCACGUCUCCUCCAACAUCCAGCACCGUUUCUCACCCGCAGAACCCUAAAAGCCAUCGGGAAGCACGCGGCUUCUUUUCCAACCCCUCCAACUGUCAGCGCUCAACUUGCAGCUGGAGGCCUCUGCAGGUGCACUGCGCUGUUGCUGCCACAGUGUACCAUCAUUUCCUGUGUGACAGUCUUUAAGACCACCACAAGGGUAAAUACGCCGUUCCUCAUGACGCCGGACAAGUUAAUGACACAGCUGUUUGCAGAAAGGAGGUUGUAA
rnacentral:lncRNA from 1 species